ensembl:lncRNA
GUAUCCCCAGUCCCAUGUAGUCCCAGUCCCAUGUAUCCCCAGUCCCAUGUAGCCCCAGUCCCAUGUAUCCCCAGCUACAGACCCAGUCCCAUGUAUCCCCAGUCCCAUGUAGUCCCAGUCCCACAUAUCCCCAGUCCCACGUAUCCCCAGUCCCACGUAUCCCCAGUCCCACGUAGCCCCAGUCCCAUGUAUCCCCAGUCCCAUGUAUCCCCAGUCCCAUGUAUCCCCAGUCCCAUGUAUCCCCAGUCCCAUGUAGCCCCAGUCCCAUGUAGCCCCAGCUACAGCCCCAGCCCCAUGUAGCCCCAGUCCCAUGUAGCCCCAGUCCCAUGUAGCCCCAGCUACAGCUACAGCCCCAUGUAGCCCCAGUCCCAUGUAGCCCCAAUCCCAUGUAUCCCCAGUCCCAUGUAGCCCCAGCUACAGCUACAGCCCCAUGUAGCCCCAGUCCCAUGUAGCCCCAAUCCCAUGUAGCCCCAGCUACAGCUACAGCUACAGCCCCAUGUAGCCCCAGCCCCAUGUAGUCCCAGUCCCAUGUAUCCCCAGACCCAUGUAUCCCCAGCCCCAUAUAUCCCCAGCCCCAUGUAUCCCCAGUCCCAUGUAUCUCCAGUCCCAUGUAUCUCCAGUCCCAUGUAUCUCCAGUCCCAUGUAUCUCCAGUCCCAUGUAUCUCCAGUCCCAUGUAUCUCCAGUCCCAUGUAUCCCCAGUCCCAUGUAUCCCCAGUCCCAUGUAUCUCCAGUCCCAUGUAGCCCCAGCUACAGCCUCAAAGGUGUGGCAGGUAGCCUAGUGGUUAGAGAGUUGGGCCGGUACCUGAAAGGUUGGUGGAUUGAAUCCCCAAGCUGACAAGGUAAAAAUAUGUCAUUCUGCCCCUGAACAGGCAGUUAACCCACUGUUCCUAGGCCGUCAUUGUAAAUAAGAAUUUGUUCUUAACUGACUUGCCUAGUUAAAUAAAGGCUAAAUAAUAUAAAACAAAUAAAAAGGAGGAAUUGCUGCUCUGUCUGCUCUGCUCCGUGCAUGCGGUGAUGUUGAAGGCUCAGCUCAGCGAGCAUGCUGGGAGUCUGCGGAAGAUGGAAUGUGAGAGUUCCCGUGGAUACCGUGGGACUUCCUGUCCCCCUCCGCCCCCUCCAGAAGCGUUCUCAGCCCCUUUGGCUGUGUUUGGUCUAGAACAGGGCUAAGCAACCCUGUUCCUGGAGAGAGACCCUCCUGUAGGUUUUCAUUUCAACCCUGUUCCUGGAGAGAGACCCUCCUGUAGUAGGUUUUCAUUCUAACCCUGUUCCUGGAGAGAGACCCUCCUGUAGGUUUUAACUCCAACCCUGUUCCUGGAGAGCUACCUUCCUGUAGAUUUUCACUCCAUCUCCAGUUGUAACUAACCUGGUUCAGUUUAUCAACCAGCUAAUUAUUAGAAUCAGGUGCUCUAGAUUAGGGUUGGAGUGAAAACCUACAGGAUGGUCUCUCUCCAGGAACAGGGUUGAAGUUAAAACCUACAGGAUGGUAGCUCUCCAGGAACAGGGUUGGAGUGAAAACAUACAGGAGAGUAGCUCUCCAGGAACAGGGUUGGUUGGUACAAUUGGUACAAAAUAUAUAGAGUACUGCAAACACUACAAUUACUGAGGUUUCAAAAUAAGUUCAACUGGACACCUUAAUGAGGCAGUGAAUGAAAGCACGCAGGGCAUUCUACGCCAUUAAAAAGCUAAUUCAAAUUGAAAUACCUAUUAAAAUUAGGCUAAAACUAAUUGAAUAUGUCAUUGAACAAUUGCACUUUAUGCUAGCGAGGUGUGGGGUCCACUUGCAAAACAAGAUUUCAC